UUAUAGAUGUGAAUUUUAAAUACUGAAUUAGUAUUAGGUAUGAGCUUUAAAAUUAAAGAAUUUGGCGGUAUUUUAGUCUAUUCAGAGGAACCUGUCCUGUAAUUGAUGGCCCACGAUUUAUAAUACCAAUAUUUUUAAUUUGUAUAUCGUCGUAGUUUAAAUAUUUUAGGAGAAUUAUAAUAUUUAAGAUUUUGUAUAAAAAAAUAAAUCAGAUCAAGAUGCAGUUUAUAUAUUGGUAGAGAUGGGUUACAAUAAAUUUAUUUAUGGAUAAAUAAUUGAAAAUUUUUUUGAAAUUGGAUUUGAAGGUAAUUUUAUAUAUCUAUGUAAGAUGAUUUAAGCUCUAAAAUAUG
rnacentral:rRNA from 2 species